AUUAGGAAGUCUCCCUUAGUGUCAAGUGUCACAGCUAUCACAGUAGGCAUAAACCAUGUUUCUCAUAGGCUCUGCACUAUUUAUUGUUACUGAAUUGCUAUUAUUGCAAGUAAGUGUGAUCCAGUGUCUUAGUCUAUGCCAGGAGGAAGGUUGGUCAUGUGAAGUAGAAGGUAAAUCUGUGAACUUACUGUACCAUUGUAAUGAAGACAUUGGGUGGAAUGCUGUCUUUGAGGAGAGUGUACUGACAGUACCUGAUGGAACACACAGCAUAACAAUUACGGACUGCUAUGAUGUUAUGAUUCCACUGUCAUUCAGUUUCCAUAGUGAUUUGAAUCAGAGGCUGCCAAAGCUCAGUAUAAAUAAUGUUGCUAGUCUGCUCUUGACAGCAGCUCCUGAUACAUUAUCCACUCCACAAAAUAUUAUUCUGAAUAACAUUCAUUGGUUGGACUGUAUAAAAAGGAACACUUUCUCAGGAGACUGGCAGUCUAUAGCAUUUUCCAAUGUAACCAUUGACAGAAUUGACAUGUAUGCAUUUGCAGAACUUAAUGUUGCUGUGCACAUUGAAUGGGACAAUGUGAAUGUAAACCUUUUAGAUACAAACGCUAUUGCCAAUGUUUUUAUUGAAGAAGGAAGUUUCAAAAUAAAAAAUUCUGUCAUUGAAACUAUGGAAAUAAUGUCAUUUGGAAUAAAAGCUUCAAAGAGAAUGAAGAAUCUGUAUGGAGCAGCAUAUCUGUCCAAAACCACCAUUGUGGAAUGGUGCAACAAAGGGUGCUGCUGCUUCAUGAUAACGCUUGUGGGCGAAUUGCAAAUGUUGUAAUGCAGAAAUUACACCAACUCUGGUGGAAGACACUUAAACACCUGCUCUAUCGUUCUGAUUCAAUUCCUUUUGGACAAGGAUGUGCAGCAGGCAGUUAUAGACUUCUCCACGUGUUGUUAUUGAAAAUUCGCAUAUCAAAGAUAUUCGACUACAUGCAUUUAAUAUUGAAGCUGAAACAUUCAUAAUGGUAAAUAAUUCAGGAUUCAGAUCAGUAAUGCCUGGAGGAUUCAUCAUUUCUGCACAUCAUAUUGAAAUAAGUAGAAAUAGAUUUGGUUAUUUAAUGACUAGGUCAUUAGAAAACAUAAGAUCAAAUUUAUUGUCGCAUUCUACCAACCCCACCUACAUUUUUAAGCAGAAUUACAUUGAAUCUGCAGAUGUAGGAUCUCUUCACUGUAAUGUUUCUUCCUAUACUGAACAUAAUGGUAUAAUAUACAUAUCAGAUAAUAAAUUUGUCUGUUCAUGUAUUCAUUUAAGUUGGAUCACACAGAUUGCAGAUUCAGAACCAGAACUUGCUCAGUUUUACAAAACACUAUUGGAAAAUGAUAAAAACAAUACUUGCUCUAUAGGUCUGUGCAGUUUCCCCCUCAGUUCAUUGCGGAAAAUGAUAAACACAGAAUAUCAGUGUGUUGCAAACAUUACUUAUGAUGAAAUAUGUAAUCUUUAUGCCAUUUUUUCUAUUUCUAGAAGCUCUUCCCAACAGGCCAACUUUCUUGCUGUUUUACUAUUGGUUAUAGCAGAAAUAAUAGUCACAUCACAAUAAACUUGUAUGCAUUAUUCUGACUGUUCUUGUUGUAAAUUUUAAAAGUGGAAAAGAAAAGUAGCAUAUAAUUUCUUGGUCAGAAUAUACUUGAUAUACAAAUGAAGAAUGUACACAAUGCUUUCCGUGUCAAUCAAACGUAAAACUAUCCCGAAGCUAAAAGGUAACCAAGAGACAUUCCAUAAAUUUGACAAAAAGAUGUAACUGCAACAAAAGUAAAACAUAUUAAUGAGUACUGGCACUGCAGGAUGUAAAUGCUUGAAUUUCAAUGUCCUGCUACUGAUGUACUUGGAAAAAGUAAGUUUUAAUUUGAUAGGAAAAUUGUGACCUUCAGGGCUGUGAAUGUAUUAAACUGAAGUUCACAAGGGAAGUUUGUUGACCAGACUGAAAAUCAAACUUGUGAAGUAGAGGACAUGAGUUUAGCUAUUUAAACACAUCUUGAUUCACUGACUUUCAGACAUCAUGUAAUCUACAAAAAGAUCUGCGCUCUCUCUCUCUCUCUCUCUCUCUCUCUCUCUCUCUCUCUCUCUCUCUCUCUCUAAGAUUUUUUUUUUUUUUUUUUUUUUUUUUUUUUUGUUAGAAUGACAUAUUGUUAUCAGUUUUCAAGAAAGCCUUUGAAGAUUUUGUUGUAGCUAUCAUAAACAGAUUUUUAUUCAACACAAGAAUAUGAAUAGGGAAGUACACAUUUGGAACUCAAAGCUGCAAAGUUACAAUACUGAGAAUUGUGUGACAUUGCAUGACUUGAGGAAACUCCAGAGAGACAGCAGAAUUCACUGAAAGCACACAUACGAUCUUAUAUAACACAGUCUACCGGUGAUAAUUCUUUGAUCAAAGAUGUUGUUUCAAGCACUUAUGAUAACUGUGUCUGACUACUUUACAUAACUGGUACUUUUGGGGAUGUGUUAAAUUCAUUGUAUUUCAAACUUCCUCUGUACCUCUUAGAGAGUAGUAACAGACUACAUAGACUUAAUAAGAACUUUUAAGAACCACCUUCCUUCUCUUUCUCGCAUUUUAACAUUAUGUAAAGUGAUGGAUGAUGAUCAACCAUUUUGAAAUUUUACUGUGUUUUCACAAAAACAUGAUCAUUUGCAAAUAAGUAUCUUAUUGUUAUAUUUUUAUAAUAUACAGUUACAUUUGUAUUAACUGCUUCAAAUAAAGGAGCAGGUCAUUAUGUUAGUUUUUCGCAUUGCACAUUCACUGUGUUUUUAACAAUGUAGUCAAAGGUUUAGUCUCUGUGGCCAAUGGUAACCUUAUAACUCUUAUGAUAUUAAUAGUCAUGGGCAGAAUUAUUGACUAUUUUCACAGACUACAUACACUAUUAUAUACUUUGCCUCAGUUAAUAAUUCAUUGAGAGAUUAUUUCACCAUUUUACAAUAAAAUAAUUGCUACUGAAGUCUCAGAAAGGGAAGUGAACUGUGCCCAGGAAAAUGUACCAAACAGGGUGGAAUAGGGGUAAGAUACUGGACUUGCACUAGUGCAGUUCAAAUCAUUGUUUAGUUAACCAGAUUCAGGUUUUUUCAGAGUUUCCGUGAACUGCUUAAGGCAAAGCAUGAUCAAUUUCUUUCCCCCUUUUUUAUUAUCCAAGCUUGUGCUUUGUCUUAAUGACGUCACUGUUAAACCUUAAUCUUCCUUUUCUAUCAUUAUCUACAAAAAGUAUUGUUUUCUUCAGUGUGUGCUGAGUGUUCUGCUAAGUUAUUCUUUCCGUUUUAUGCACACCAUUAAUCAAUCAAGCGAAAAAGCCUGAAAAAUCGUAUUAAAGUUAUACCAGUCAUUAAAGUUAGUUUUCAUGCAUGCUAUUGUCUUUGGUGGUAUUACUUGUGCGACGAUAGUCUUAGAAGAAUAUUCAUCUUUUGUGUCUUGCUAUUUUUAACAUUACCAUUCUCAAACACUGUCCAAUUUGAUAUCCUAGUCAAUAGCACAAAUACGGUAACAUUUUCUUCAAUAGAUCUCAUUACUUAAUUUUCCUGUUAUGCUUUUGUUCCUUGCAUACAUAAGAAUGAUAAUGUGCAACCAAACUUGGGAUAAUUCCAUGAGAAACAAAGUAUUUCACUUAUAUUUUCAGCAGAGACAAACAGCAUUUAUAGGUUGAACAGUGUGUCAUGCACCAGGCAGACAUGGAUGGCAAUUGCACAUGUAGUUAAUUUGAUAUUGUAAAAAAUUAAAAUUUAUGGAAGCCAGUUUCUGUUUUGCUCAUGUAGCAAAGAAGUGUUGAUCCUAAUAUUAACACUAAAAACAUUUUUUUACUGCAUGUAAUUUCUAAUGUGUUUCACAGUUCCUCAGAUGAAAUGUCAGAUACAGUCAUCAGACUUUUUCAUUUUAAUACUAAUUUAAUCUUUGUUGUUAAAUGAUUUCUACUUAAUGUAAUAUUUAAGAAUUAAAACUUGAACUGGAAAUUGUGUUAUAUUUUUCUGUGUGUUCAGAAUAAAGAAAUCUGAACUGCAGAUAUGGUGGCAGCUAUUAAGAUAACUUGUGCAAAGACCAAAAGACCUGUAAUUUAAUUCAGCCAGUUUUUGGUUUUAUUUUUCAUUGUAUUGGUGCAUAACAACAGUAUAAAAUCCUUAUGAAUGUAACAGAUGAAAUAAAGAUGUGCAAAAUAUGAAAA